UCCGNNUUAUUGGGCGUAAAGCGCGCGCAGGCGGUCUUUUAAGUCUGAUGUGAAAGCCCCCGGCUUAACCGGGGAGGGUCAUUGGAAACUGGAAGACUGGAGUGCAGAAGAGGAGAGUGGAAUUCCACGUGUAGCGGUGAAAUGCGUAGAUAUGUGGAGGAACACCAGUGGCGAAGGCGACUCUCUGGUCUGUAACUGACGCUGAGGCGCGAAAGCGUGGGGAGCAAACAGGAUUAGAUACCCUGGUAGUCCACGCCGUAAACGAUGAGUGCUAAGUGUUAGGGGGUUUCCGCCCCUUAGUGCUGCAGCUAACGCAUUAAGCACUCCGCCUGGGGAGU
rnacentral:rRNA from 1 species